AAGUCGUAACAAGGUUUCCGUAGGUGAACCUGCGGAAGGAUCAUUAACAUCUUUUUUGGAAUUUGGGUGGUGUGGUGGGAGUUUCGUAAGAAGCUCUCAUCUGCCACUUUCCACCCCACUUGUGUGCAUUUGCAGUGUUGAGUUUGUGCUGGUGGAAACACCUCCACUCUCUCUCUCUCUACUUUUCUAUUUUACACCCUAAUACCCCUUCUUAUUCCACACUAGUCUGAACACAAACACCUUUUUUCUCACUUACAAGGAGGAAAAAACCAAUCAGCAUACAACUCUUAGCAACGGAUAUCUAGGCUCUC
rnacentral:misc_RNA from 1 species